AAAUCUUACCGGGUCCGGACACACUGAGGAUUGACAGGCAAUAUUAAAAAUUAUUAUUUUAAUUUUUUUCGAAAAAUUUUAAUAUAUUUUUAUGUUAAAUAUGCUAGUCCUUUCAUGAUUAUGUGAUAGGUGGUGCAUGGCCGUUCUUAGUUCGUGGAGUGAUCUGUCUGCUUAAUUGCGUUUCACCUUAGGGCUUAUAAAUUACGUGUGUUGCGGCACUUUGACCCCUUUGUUGAAACAUACGAAGCGCGCGUCUUAGUUGCUUAGCACGCACAAUUAAGUCCUGAAAGCAACGAACGUGACCGCAACCUCUUGUUGCCUUUUGCACAAUCUCGAGUAUUCGCUAUGGGUAUAAUUUAUUGUAUUCCACUGUGUAAUAUUUUGGGAAAAAGAGGCUUUUAAACUAGAGGGACCGCUGUAACUUUUUUAAACCAGAGGAAGGUUGCGGCAAUAA
rnacentral:rRNA from 1 species